rnacentral:rRNA from 1 species
UCGAGAGGCUUCGGCAAUGGGGGAAACCCUGACCGAGCGACGCCGCGUGGGUGAUGAAGUCCUUCGGGAUGUAAAACCCUGUCAUACGGGAUGAAAAGUUGAUCGGUGAAUAGCCCUUCAGCUUGACAGUACCGUAAGAGGAAGCUCCGGCCAACUCCGUGCCAGCAGCCGCGGUAAUACGGGGGGAGCGAGCGUUAUUCGGAUUCACUGGGCGUAAAGGGUUCGUAGGCGGUCUUGUAGGUCAGGGGUGAAAUCCAACGGCUUAACCGUUGAACUGCCCCUGAAACCACUUGACUUGAGGGCAUGAGAGGAAAGCGGAAUUCUUGGUGUAGCGGUGAAAUGCGUGGAUAUCAAGAGGAACACCGGUGGCGAAAGCGGCUUUCUGGCAUGCUACUGACGCUGAGGAACGAAAGCUAGGGGAGCGAACAGG